rnacentral:rRNA from 1 species
AGGUUAAGUUAAUAAGAGCAUACGGUGGAUGCCUUGGCGCUGAGAGUCGAAGAAGGGCGUGGUAAGCUGCGAAAAGC